AUUAGAUACCCUGGGUAGUCCACGCCGUAAACGAUGAUUACUAGGUGUGGGUGGGUAUGGACCCACUCGGUGCCGCAGCAAACGCAAUAAGUUAUCCACCUGGGGAGUACGACCGCAAGGUUGAAACUCAAAGGAAUUGACGGGGACCCGCACAAGCAGUGGAUUAUGUGGUUUAAUUCGAAGCAACGCGAAGAACCUUACCGGCACUUGACAUCCUACUAACGAAAUGGAGACAUAUUAGGUGCCCUUCGGGGAAAGUAGAGACAGGUGGUGCAUGGUUGUCGUCAGCUCGUGUCGUGAGAUGUUGGGUUAAGUCCCGCAACGAGCGCAACCCCUGCCAUUAGUUGCUACGCAAGAGCACUCUAAUGGGACCGCUACCGACAAGGUGGAGGAAGGUGGGGACGACGUCAAAUCAUCAUGCCCCUUAUGUGCUGGGCUACACACGUAAUACAAUGGUCAUCAACAAAGAGAAGCAAUACCGUGAGGUGGAGCAAAACUCAAAAAAUGAUCUCAGUUCGGACUGUAGGCUGCAACUCGCCUACACGAAGUUGGAAUUGCUAGUAAUCGUGGAUCAGCAUGCCACGGUGAAUACGUUCCCGGGUCUUGUACACACCGCCCGUCACACCAUGGGAGCUGGUAACACCCGAAGUCAGUAGUCUAACCGCAAGGAGGACGCUGCCGAAGGUGGGAUUAGCGACUGGGGUGAAGUCG
rnacentral:rRNA from 1 species